rnacentral:rRNA from 1 species
CAAUACUUGAGCUAGAGUGUCGUACGGGUGCGUAACACGUAUGCAACCUACCUUUUACAGGAGUAUAGCUCCCCGAAAGGGGAAUUAACCCUCCAUAAUAUCAUUGGAUGGCAUCAUUUGAUGAUUAAAACUGAGGUGGUAAAAGAUGGGCAUGCGUCUGAUUAGUUAGUUGGCAGUGUAACGGACUACCAAGACGAUGAUCAGUAGGGGACCUGAGAGGGUGAUCCCCCACACUGGCACUGAGAUACGGGCCAGACUCCUACGGGAGGCAGCAGUAGGGAAUAUUGGACAGUGGGUGAGAGCCUGAUCCAGCCAUGCCGCGUGCAGGAAGAAGGCGUUAUGCGUUGUAAACUGCUUUUGCCAGGGGAUAAAACGGUUCUGCGGAACUAAUUGAAGGUACCUGGUGAAUAAGCCACGGCUAACUACGUGCCAGCAGCCGCGGUAAUACGUAGGUGGCAAGCGUUGUCCGGAUUUAUUGGGUUUAAAGGGUGCGUAGGCGGCCCUGUAAGUCAGUGCUGAAAUAUCCCGGCUUAACCGGGAGGGUGGCAUUGAUACUGCAGGGCUUGAGUACAGAUGAGGUAGGCGGAAUUGACGGUGUAGCGGUGAAAUGCAUAGAUAUCGUCAAGAACACCGAUAGCGAAGGCAGCUUACCAAGCUGUAACUGACGCUGAGGCACGAAAGUGUGGGGAUCAAACAGGAUUAGAUACCCUGGUAGUCCACACUGUAAACGUUGAUGACUCGAUGUUGGCGAUAUACAACCAGCGUCCAAGAGCAAUCGUUAAGUCA